rnacentral:lncRNA from 1 species
AAGGAAGGAGGGUGACUGCAGAGACCGGCCCUGGGCAGCGGUACCAGGGGCACAGGGAGCCUGGCCCGGCCCAUUGUCACUGGAAUUCAUGCCAUGCAGACUUCUACAUCAAAGGGAAACAAGGUCAGGAGGGCCGAGGGGUCCACGGCACUCCGCACCCACGGGGCCAGGCUGGCACAACGCCCCAACGCUGCAAUCCUGGGAAGAGUCACACGCGCCCUCCCGGGACCCACGUGACCAUCAAGGGAGUGUGGAGGACACAUCCCUCGGGGGUGACGCCCCUGCAGAUGGAGUUUCCCCAUCUGUGCCACCCUUGCAAGGCCUGGGAAAGGCUGCGGGGCCAGGCGGCACCGGGCAAGCUGAGUGCCAGGUGGUGGUUGCAACACACCGGGCAAAUCUGAAACCAUGGGACGGACGAGCUGCACCCCUGGGAAAGAGAACAGAGGAAGGCCGGUUAUCAACGUCCUCCUGUGCCUCAGUUUCCAGAAACAAGCCAGACUCAGUGCCUCAGGGAGACCCCGUGUGGCCUCCGGAGAGCACGGGACCCGCCCUUUGUGCAGGUGAGGAAACUGAACCCCAGAGCAGUGAGGGACUGGCCUGGGGACCCUGGGCUCAGCCCUGGGCGCCUUCCCUCUGCCCAUCUCAGACGGGCACAGCCAGCACCGCCUCACCCCAACGCGCCUCCAGACUGGCCCUCCAGGGGCCCCCAGGCACAAUCCUCUCACUUUCUUCCUCAAGCCCCUGCCUUCCCCCUUCGCACUGUGACCCAGGGGCUGCUAGCAGCUGGGCUGGGCUCCAAAGCUUGAAGCUGCUUCUCCAGGUCUCUUUCCAGGGGGCGGCGGAUGGCUGCUCACUCAGGGACGCCAACACCAACAGGAAGGGACCCAUGCACGGAUCUGACUUCCCUCCCAGGCUCUGCCUUCACUCAAUGUCCCUGUGGGGCAGCUGGGGCUCCCGGCCGCCCUCCCCUGCCCACAGCCGUGAGGUUGCUUCCUAGGGUUCUGUUUUCCCCACAGUCGGAACUGAGGUGCUGGGAGGCUCCAGAAGAGGGAUGGGGUGGAGCAAGUGGCCUGGAGCCCCCCAGGGCAGACCCCAAAGAGAAGGGUCAGAAGUGCCCUCUGGGGCCUGGGCAGCUGGGGGGAGCCCACAAGCCUGAGACCCUGUGGGAGGGAAGCGCCCCCACCCCGUGGUAAGAAAGGGGCUGGUAGAGGCUCCUAUGUGGCUCCCUCUGUCCCCUCCCGACCUCUGGCCAGGCUUGGGAUAAUCCCUGAGUGGACACAGGCGCCACGAUGGGGUCUCGGGGGUGAGGGCUGAGGAGGCUGAGCCUCCAAGGACCCCAGGGUGCCUGUUCCCACUGCACACCCACCAGGGCACAGGGUAGGGAUAGUGCCAGGAGGGCCACAGCUGCAGGGUCCAUCCCAGGCCGUGGUACACAGGUAGAGGUGGGUGCCAGCCUUCGUGAAGCACCUGCAGAAGCUCCACUCAGGGAGAGAACGAGGCACUCGCCCAAACAGAUCCUGGGUCACACGGGGCAGCAAGAGAGGGUGGAGCAAGUGGCCUGGAGCAAAGGGUUGGAGGCCCCGGGGCGGCGCGUUCUCCCCCAAGCCCAUUCCAGGGCCAUGGGCACCCCCCAGAGGCAGCUGGUGGGACUGCAGCCAUGCAGGUCCUAGAGGGCAGGUGACAGGGGACGUGACAGAAGGGGACAAAGGGCCGGCAACAUCCCUGGGGGAGGCACAGAGAGGGCCAGACUGCCCUCGGUGGACUGCGGAACCCAGAACCCAACGGCCAAUCCUCCCCCUACUCCUCACCCACAGUAAGGGGCCAGGGCUCCAUGCAAUGAGAACCCACGGGUGAUGCCACACGGGGGAGAAGCCACGCGGGGGAGAGGCCAUGCAGGGGAGAGGUUACAAGGGGGAGAGGCUGCGGGGUGAGAGGUCACAUGGGGCAGAGGCCACGCGGGGGAGAGGCCACGCAGGGGAGAGGUCACAUGGGGGAGGCCACGCAGGGGAGAGGUCACAUGGGGGAGAGGCCACACAAGGGAGAGGCCAUGCAGGGGAGAGGUCACAAUGGGGAGAGGCCGCAGGGGGGAGAGGUCACAUGGGGCAGAGGCCACGCGGGGGAGAGGCCACGCAGGGGAGAGGUCACAUGGGGGAGGACACGCAGGGGAGAGGUCACAAGGGGGAGAGGCCGCAGGGGGAGAGGUCACAUGGGGGAGAGGCUACACAGGGGAGAGGCCGCACGCUGGGGAGAUGGUCCCUGCGGGAAGACUCCGAGGCAGUCUCCUGCAGCUCCUUCCGGCGAAUCCGGUUCAGGAAGUAAAACCAGCCCUGUGUAGAGGUAAGUGAUGCUUGUGGGGAUAAUCUCCGAGCAGCUCACCGCGGCGCUGGCCAUUGCCGUUCUCUUCACGGUAGAAGAGUCCAUUUGGGGAAAAGGUCCCCAUCAGAGAUGGAGAUGUUCCCUUUCAGACUCCAGGCUAUGGCUGUGGGGCCGGCUCCCUACCACGUGGGCUGGGGGCUGGGCACAUGCAUGCCCACUCCUGGGCCCUCUUCCUGGUAGGCCACAGCACCACACACACUGCAAACCAGGCCUCUUCUUCAUCCACCACCACCGUCCAGGCCUCAACAUCACCGCGUGGGGUCUUGUGCCCUCUGGGGGAACUUCCGGGCUAAUGAGGGGGGACAGUCCCCAUUACCGGUCUAUCUUUAUAAGGCAGUAUAUGCAACAGUGGAAGUUCUGUGAGACAUGUUCCAACCCCGGGGCUGCUGGCAGAACUGUCCCCAAACCCACCCUCGAUCCCACGGCCAGGAAGUGGGUCCAAAAUUGCCUGGCCAGGUCACACCCCUGCGUGAACCGCCCCACAACACCCAGGGCGCUGCCUGACUUGCCGUCCACCUCUCAGCCCCUCCCCUCACCCCUGCCGCAGCUGCAGGGCCUACCCUCGCCGGGGGCUGCUCCCUGCUUACCUCCCUCGCCCGUGCAAUGCCUCUACUUCCCGCAAGGCCUACCGGGAGAUGUUACAGGUCACGGUCAUAUUUGAGCAUGAGAAGCUCACGCAGAGAACAUUCUGGCUGAGGGAGAGGUCUUGGGGUUCAAGGCUGUUUCUUGGCUCUGCUCAGCCAUGCCAGGCAGGAAAAUGGGCACCUCUAGUGACCCAGGCUGGCUGAGAGCCUGCAGGGAAGAGCCUUUGGAACGUGAGCCACUGUGGGCUGGCAGGACUGCAACUGGCGUCUCCAUCUACUGGUACCGAGGCGAGGAGGAAAAAGCAGGGGGGCCCGGAGACGGCCCCUCUAAGUCUGUAACUCCAGAGCUGCUGCUCAGUCCCCAGAACGUCACCUCCGAGCAGAGCCUGUGACAACUGUCAACUGUGAAGCUGUGGCGUGGGUUGCUACUGAAGCUCUGAAGUCAGCGAGGACACAGCAUGUUUGUUCUAGACCGUUUGGCUGCGGGAGGAAGCUGUACAUGCACACACUCGCCUCACCACCCUGCGAGUCCACAGGCCCCUCCCCGGAGUCACCUCCAGGUAAAGGGGGCCCUGCGUCGGGACUUGCUCUCUGGGGCGCUGAGAUGCUCUACAAUGAGCUGUGCUGCAGUGCACGGCCGCCCGACUGUGCACCCGCAACGGGGAACUGAACGCUGCAUGAAGUACAUCUCCAAGUUGUUCUUUAAGAAGGCUUAGGGUCCCUGGAAGACCCUCGCCCACACCCAGCGUGGAGCGUUGUUGCUCACGUGGCCACACCUCUCGGGAUGGCCGUGGGUCUCCGUGAUGGGCAGGCGAGUGGAACCACAGGUGCUUCCCGUCCUGGUCACAAAGUCAGAGUGGCUGGGCCAAGUGUCCUGAGAAGAGUCACCUCCUGGGAUCCCAUCAGCCUGGCCAUAGCAGAACACCCAGACAGGGGCCCAUCCCCGAGGCUCAACUCAACGCAUGCAGCCACUGUAGAAAAGUCUGGAAAGUAGUUCUUCAACCGACUAGACAUGGUGAGCCCAAAACCCAGCCAUGACACUCCUAGGCAUCUGCCCCAGAGGAAUGAAAGCAUCCAUCCCCUGCAAACUCAUCCUUACACAGCAGCGUGACUCAAGACGGCCAAAGGCGGAAACACCCCAAACGUCCAUCAGUGGACAAACGGGCAGAUGCAAUGCACUGUCUGUACCGUGGGAUGUCACUCAGCCAUAUGAAGGAAAGACUCCAGUGUGGAUGAGCCCUGGAACCACGGUGCUGCGUGAUCCCGUAACACAUGGCCAGAACAGACACGGCCCGGAACCUGAGGCCGGGAGGAUGCGUGCAGGUGGCGGGGAGACAGAGGGGCGAUGGCCCAGUUUCUUUUGGGCUGAAAAUGGUCUAAAGUUGACUGUGGUGAUGGCUGUACAACUUUGAAUAUGCUGAAAACUCGAAUUACACACUUCAGUUGGGCGAACUGUACUCCAUGUGAAUUACCUCUCGAUGGUUCUCUCCUGGGCUCAGGCGCUUCUCCCACCUUGGCCUCCUGAGUAGCUGGAACUACCAUUCAUGUGCGGAAAUAAAACAACUCGGUCUCAAAAAAAACUCAACUCAAAACUCAGUCUCAAAAAUAAAAAAAUAAAAAAGUAAAAGAGGCUACCAAAAAAAAAAAAAAAAAAAAAAAAAA